CCAAAUGUGAACUUUUCCAUUCCCAUAAACAUUUAAAUAUUGAUUACAGCGCUGUCUGUGUGGAUAUCUAUAUCUGUCUCCACACAGACAGCGCUGUAAUCAAUAUUUAAAUGUUUAUGGGAAUGGAAAAGUUCACAUUUGGAAUGGAUAUCACAAAGACUGAAUCCGUUUCUAACAGCCACAUCCUUUAAAGAGACCCCUACCUUGGAUUCAU